AAGUCGUAACACGGUUUCCGUAGGUGAACGUGCGGAAGGAUCAUUAACACGUAUCCAAACGUUAAAACCUCCCCGGUGAACAUUCAUCCUGCGCUUGUAACCCGCGAAGCUUGCAAUCCCUGGUACAUAAUAUGUAGUUUUGAUUCAGAGACACCAGUCAAUGUCUGAAAGUGGCAUUAAUUGUGCAAGGAUAACGCUUUUCUUGUAGACCGCAUCUCGCGGGCAGAGCUAGGCCAAAGCCCCCUUACAAACCCACAGUAUAAUGUGAAGCCAUUGCGUAAAAAAAUCGAACAACUGUGAACGAUGGAUAUCUUGCUUUUC
rnacentral:misc_RNA from 1 species